ensembl:snRNA U6 U6 spliceosomal RNA
GUGCUCACUUUGGCAGCGCAUAUACUAAAAUUGGAAUGAUAUAGAGAAGACUAUCAUGGCCCCUGCUCAAGGAUGACAUGCAAAUUUGUGAAGCAUUCCAUAUUUUU